rnacentral:rRNA from 1 species
UAACGCGUAGGUAACCUGCCUUGUAGCGGGGGAUAACUAUUGGAAACGAUAGCUAAUACCGCAUAACAAUGGAUGACCCAUGUCAUUUAUUUGAAAGGGGCAAAAUGCUCCACUACAAGAUGGACCUGCGUUGUAUUAGCUAGUAGGUGAGGUAACGGCUCACCUAGGCGACGAUACAUAGCCGACCUGAGAGGGUGAUCGGCCACACUGGGACUGAGACACGGCCCAG